rnacentral:rRNA from 1 species
GACGUAGGGCGCGAGCGUUGUCCGGAUUUAUUGGGCGUAAAGAGCUCGUAGGCGGUUUGUCGCGUCUGCUGUGAAAACUCAGGGCUUAACUCUGAGCUUGCAGUGGGUACGGGCAGACUAGAGUGCGGUAGGGGAGACUGGAAUUCCUGGUGUAGCGGUGAAAUGCGCAGAUAUCAGGAGGAACACCGAUGGCGAAGGCAGGUCUCUGGGCCACUACUGACGCUGAGAAGCGAAAGCAUGGGGAGCGAACAGG